GGCUUUAGCGCCUGAGAUCAAAUCCCUCCUAAUCACUAUAACCACAUUUUCCCGAGGGGAUGUAGAGGGGAAUUGAAAUCCUCAUUCUAAUUUUUAUUUUUCUAUCUAUGGUUCGUGCUUUCUUAUCCGAAGGGGAAAGCCCCGGCCUACAGCACCGCUAUGAGAAAUCCCAACCCAGAGAAAGGAAUUUCACCUCUUCUAGCCCUUUAAUUUUAUUUGAAUAGGGCGGCUACAAAUAGCUAGUAUGAAAGAACUUACUUUCUUCUUGAAAAAGGAAAUCUGAUUCCAUAGUUCGGACCAAGGCUGAGACAAAUUCUGUGUUUACUUCGCGAUAGCCUUAACUUGACAUUAUCAAGCCAUACUAUCUACCCAAAUGGAUUUUAAACUGACAUUAUAUCCUAUAUAUCGGAGAUAUAAGGGUUGCACUUCCGCUUAUGGUAACUGAACUUGGUAACCAAACUCUUUCCCGGCAAGAAGAUCCAACAUUUCCUUCGGGCAAGUUCAGCUAUAGUUGGGUGGGAAUGGGAACGGACCGAC